UCAAGGUUUUAGGAUCUUAGAAUCUUGUGUUGACCAGCGGGGUUACUUCAACGUCCAGGGUUUAAUUCUUUCAAAUUUUAUGGAAGCAUGUUAUGGGGCUACCCUCCUUGAUUCCUUCUUUGUCUUGUCUUAACUGCACGUUACUCUGUUGCCCGUUAGCACUGUUUCCAAAGGAGCAGGGAGUGGCCGGGAAUGUGUAGGCACUGGCCAUUUUGGUUAGUACCUGAGAUCGGGGGGGAUGGCAGGUGCAGAAGCAUAGUCUGGUGUGAGGAUGUGAGACCCUGUGUUUUGGGAAGCCUCACGGCUCUUCCUUGGUUGUCUCAGGUCAUCCGGCAUUGAACAGGAACACCGCAUCCAGCUUCUUGGAAACAGAACUGCGGAUCAAAACCGCCAGUUGCAAGAGCGCCUGGAGGUGGCGGAGCGGAAGCUGCAGCAGACCCCGAGGAAGGCCAAGUCGCUGCCCGAGGUGGAAGCCGAGCCGGCCCAGAGGGUGGCCACCCUCUGCAAGGCCGAGCAGAGGCGUGGCAACAUCGAGGAAAGGCUGCGCCAGAUGGAG